UCCGCCAUAGCUCAGUUGGUAGUAGCGCAUGACUGUUAAUCAUGGUGUCGUAGGUUCGAGUCCUACUGGCGGAG
rnacentral:tRNA from 1 species